UACGGGGGGGGGUAAGCGUUGUUCGGAAUUACUGGGCGUAAAGGGCUCGUAGGCGGCCAACUAAGUCAGACGUGAAAUCCCUCAGCUUAACUGGGGAACUGCGUCUGAUACUGGAUGGCUUGGAUCCGGGAGAGGGAUGCGGAAUUCCAGGUGUAGCGGUGAAAUGCGUAGAUAUCUGGAGGAACACCGGUGGCGAAGGCGGCAUCCUGGACCGGUAUUGACGCUGAGGAGCGAAAGCCAGGGGAGCAAAGCGGGG
rnacentral:rRNA from 1 species